rnacentral:rRNA from 1 species
UACGUAGGGGGCGAGCGUUGUCCGGAAUCAUUGGGCGUAAAGCGCGUGUUGGCGGUUCGGUAAGUCUGCUGUGAAAGUCCAGGGCUCAACCCUGGGAUGCCGGUGGAUACUGCCGAACUAGAGUGCGGAAGAGGCGAGUGGAAUUCCCGGUGUAGCGGUGAAAUGCGCAGAUAUCGGGAGGAACACCAAUUGCGAAGGCAGCUCGCUGGGACGUGACUGACGCUGAUACGCGAAAGCGUGGGGAGCAAACAGG